UGAGGAACAUGACCUUCGGCGGGGGAUAGCCGGCCCAACGGCCGGGUAAUACCGCGUACGACCAUUUGGGGACAUCCCCGAGUGGUGAAAGCAGCAAUGCGCCGAUGGAGUGCCUCGCGGCCUAUCAGCUAGUUGGUGAGGUAACGGCUCACCAAGGCGACGACGGGUAGCUGGUCUGAGAGGAUGGCCAGCCACAUUGGGACUGAGACACGGCCCAGACUCCGUACGGGAGCAG
rnacentral:rRNA from 1 species